AUUGAACGCUGGCGGAAUGCUUUACACAUGCAAGUCGAACGGCAGCACGGGGCAACCUGGUGGCGAGUGGCGAACGGGUGAGUAAUACAUCGGAACGUGCCCAAUCGUGGGGGAUAACGUAGCGAAAGUUACGCUAAUACCGCAUACGAUCUACGGAUGAAAGCGGGGGAUCGCAAGACCUCGCGCGAGUGGAGCGGCCGAUGUCAGAUUAGGUAGUUGGUGGGGUAAAGGCUCACCAAGCCAACGAUCUGUAGCUGGUCUGAGAGGACGACCAGCCACACUGGAACUGAGACACGGUCCAGACUCCUACGGGAGGCAGCAGUGGGGAAUUUUGGACAAUGGGCGCAAGCCUGAUCCAGCCAUUCCGCGUGCAGGAUGAAGGCCUCGGUUGUAACUGCUUUGUACGGUAACGAAACGGACGAGCUCUAAUACAGUUUGCUAAUGACGGUACCGUAA
rnacentral:rRNA from 1 species